ensembl:lncRNA
UCUGGAAUGAUUGACAGGUCCUAUGGAGGAGGCAGCCCAGACUCUGGUUCACCUUAAACUCUGUUCUUGUUUGGAUUAAUUCUGAUAUAAUAACUGUUGGUUUAUUUAUCAGUGGAACAGCAGAACCUUUUCCACAGAUAAUUUUCCUGCCCGUAGGCUUGUUUUAACCAGUUUUCUACCUUCGGCUGAUUGUACCAGCAGACACUGAAAGGACUCUGAUAGUUCGUGAAAUGUAAAAACUGAACAGUCACAAGACAAGUUGUAUUAUGAAGAGAGGAGCUGAAUCUGCAGCAUUAUUGUUAUUACUGGAAGGAUGAGGAGGACAUCAGUGCUGCUCUUCCUCACAGUGAUGAAGGAGAGAAGAUUCUUCAGACAACCAUCUGGAUGUUCAUGUUCUCUGUAGCUCUCAGUCCAUCAGACUAGAUGUUCCUAAUGAUCCAGACCAAGACUGGAAGGAAAAGACACUAACAGUUUCCCAGAGACUAUGGGUUGAGGAGGAAGUGGAAGUUUGUCAGCUUAGACCUGGUGUCAUUCCAUCAGUGUUAAAUUUCCCGGCUCAUCUUGGAAGAGUACGUGCCAGAAAGACCACGACCAAGCAGCCUUGAGAUCUUAGGCAGCGUCUCCCUGAGGUCCCUAUCUCCCCACACAUCCACCAACCACUGGAACACAUCUCCAAAGUUCUGCUGGACCAGCUCAGCUUCCCCUCAGAAGAAGUGCUGCCACCUGCCAGAUGAAGGAGCCUUUUGAGAGGCAGCUGGCAUCGUGAUUGGACUGUACUUUGGUCUGUUCCAAUCCAGCUUCAGCUCCAGAGACGGCAGGCGGGACGAGUCAACGGAGGCCGGAUGGACGAAGGCAUGCAGCUGAGUACAAUCCAGAAAACAACAGAGGAGGAGUGCAGCAGCCCAGAGCCAGAACAACCAGAGUAGCAUGACCAAAGAACUACAGACUCUUCACAACCUGCUCAAACUCUUGGUACAGGACCUCACCACACG